AACGAGCGCUGGCGGCAGGCUUAACACACGCAAGUCGAGCGCCCCGCAAGGGGAGCGGCAGACGGGUGAGUAACGCGUGGGAAUCUACCCAUCUCAACGGGAUAACGCAUGGAAACGUGUGCUAAUACCGUAUACGUCCUUCGGGAGGAAGAUUUAUCGGAGAUGGAUGAGCCCGCGUUGGAUUAGCUAGUUGGUGGGGUAAAGGCCUACCAAGGCGACGAUCCAUAGCUGGUCUGAGAGGAUGAUCAGCCACACUGGGACUGAGACACGGCCCAGACUCCUACGGGAGGCAGCAGUGGGGAAUAUUGGACAAUGGGCGCAAGCCUGAUCCAGCCAUGCCGCGUGAGUGAUGAAGGCCCUAGGGUUGUAAAGCUCUUUCACCGGUGAAGAUAACGACGGUAACCGGAGAAGAAGCCCCGGCUAACUUCGUGCCAGCCGCCGCCGUAACAC
rnacentral:rRNA from 1 species